AUUGAACGCUGGCGGCAUGCUUUACACAUGCAAGUCGAACGGUAACAGGCCGCCAGGUGCUGACGAGUGGCGAACGGGUGAGUAAUGCAUCGGAACGUGCCCAGUCGUGGGGGAUAACUACUCGAAAGAGUAGCUAAUACCGCAUACGAUCUAUGGAUGAAAGCGGGGGACCGUAAGGCCUCGCGCGAUUGGAGCGGCCGAUGUCAGAUUAGGUAGUUGGUGGGGUAAAGGCUCACCAAGCCAACGAUCUGUAGCUGGUCUGAGAGGACGACCAGCCACACGGGGACUGAGACACGGCCCAGACCCUCACGGGAGGAAGCGGGGGGGAAUUUGGGAAAAGGGGCGAAAGCCUGACCCAGCAAUGCCGGGUGAAGGAAGAAGGCCUUCGGGUUUUAAACUGUUUUUGUACGGAAAGAAACGGCUCUGGUUAAUACCCGGGGCUAAUGACGGUACCGAAAGAAUAAGCCCCGGCCAACUACGU
rnacentral:rRNA from 1 species